AGGUGAUGCAAAGGUGCAUAAAAAUAGGAUACUAAAGGGUGUGAAGUCUUUCAAAAGAGGAAAAGUUGACAGCAGCAACCUGAAACCACUUCUAGAAAAAAUGGACCUCAAACUCACUGAAAAAGAAUUUGAAGAGCUAAAAGAAAAUCUAUCUGUUGAUGAGCACGGGCUCUAGCCCUGUGGGCUUCAAUAGCUGCGGCACGUGGGCUCAGUAGUUGUGGCUCAUGGGCUUAGUUGCUCCACAGGAUAUGGGAUCUUCCCGGACCAGGGAUCGAACCCGUGUCCCCUGCAUUGGCAGGUGGAUUCUUAACCACUGCACCACCAGGGAAGUCCCCAAAGUUCAUAUCUUGAAGCCCUACAUGGAGGUGAGGAUGCUGGGGGGCAGUUAGGAGUGGGGCCCUCUUACUGGGAUUAGUCCCCUCAUGAGAUGAGGUAUCAGAGAGGCUAUUCUUUCUGUCUCUAACACAAGAGGACGCGGAGAGAAGUCAGCCAUCCGCAAGCCAAGAAGAAGGACCUCACCAGAACCCUGCCAGGCUGGCACCCUGAUCGGGGACUUCAAGUCUCCAGAACUGUGAGAAAAUCCGUUUCUGUUCUGGAAGCCACUAGCCGAUGGCAUUUUGUUUUGGAAGCUCUAUCAAACUAAGACCAGAGGUCUGACUUGGUGCCUGCGUCCUGCAUUUUUUUUUCUUUUUCUUUCUUUCUUUUUUUUUUUUUUUUUGUGGAAAAAUGACUUUAUGAAGCCUUAAGAAGCACUGAGUAUAAUUAAACUGUAAUCCAGAGUGAGAUACAACUUCAUAACAGUUCAGUUCCAAAAUAAAAGUUAUUGGAGCUGAGAGCCUGAAAUUUCCUAACACAUGAUUUUUAACACACUGCGCUAAAUUUUCUAAAACAACUCAGAGGAACCAAUAUACAGUAGAUGGAGUAUUUACGAAAACUCUGGCGUCAGCUGUAUUAUAUAUAUGUAUAUAUGUGUAUAUAUGUAUCACCCAAGUUCAUAUGAACUAGGA